rnacentral:tRNA from 1 species
GCGGGCGUGGCGGAAUGGUAGACGCGUGGGACUUAGGAUCCCAUGGGCAAACCCGUGAGAGUUCGAGUCUCUCCGCCCGCACCA